UCGAGGAUCUUCGGCAAUGGGCGCAAGCCUGACCGAGCGACGCCGCGUGUGCGAUGAAGGCCUUCGGGUUGUAAAGCACUGUCGAGGGGGACGAAAGCCGCAAGGCUUGACCGAUCCCUGGAGGAAGCACGGGCUAAGUUCGUGCCAGCAGCCGCGGUAAGACGAACCGUGCGAACGUUGUUCGGAAUCACUGGGCUUAAAGGGCGCGUAGGCGGAGGGUAAAGUCGGUGGUGAAAGCCUUCAGCUUAACUGGAGAAGCGCCUCCGAUACUGACUCUCUGGAGGGAGGUAGGGGCAUGUGGAACUCAGGGUGGAGCGGUGAAAUGCGUAGAUAUCCUGAGGAACGCCGGUGGCGAAAGCGACGUGCUGGACCUCUUCUGACGCUGAGGCGCGAAAGCCAGGGGAGCAAACGG
rnacentral:rRNA from 1 species